rnacentral:rRNA from 1 species
UACGGAGGAUCCGAGCGUUAUCCGGAUUUAUUGGGUCUAAAGGGUGCGUAGGCGGUUUGAUAAGUUAGAGGUGAAAUGUCGGGGCUCAACCCCGAAACUGCCUCUAAUACUGUUGGACUAGAGAAUAGUUGCGGUAGGCGGAAUGUAUGGUGUAGCGGUGAAAUGCUUAGAGAUCAUACAGAACACCGAUUGCGAAGGCAGCUUACCAAACUAUAUCUGACGUUGAGGCACGAAAGCGUGGGUAGCAAACAGG